rnacentral:rRNA from 1 species
UUCGGAUCGGAGUCUGNAACCCGACUCCGUGAAGCUGGAUUCGCUAGUAAUCGCGCAUCAGCCAUGGCGCGGUGAAUACGUUCCCGGGCCUUGUACACACCGCCCGUCAAGCCAUGGGAGCCGGGGGUGCUUGAAGUGCGUCGCCGCAAGGCGCGCCCUAGAGCAAAACCGGUGACUGGGGCUAAGUCGUAACAAGGUAAC